rnacentral:snoRNA from 1 species
AAGAUCAUACUUCACAGGAUCAUUUCUGUAGUAUAUCUUGACUUGUUUCCCACCAGAAACAUUUCUCCAAUCAACCCGCGAUGACGAGUAAUGACGCUGGCUUCUGAGAGUGAAACAGGUUGGUGAUCGUAGCCACUUGCGUGGUAUCUGCUCGUAGCCAUUGAGGACCGUUUCCGGUGUUCCCUUGUGGCACACUGGAAGGAAACCGGCGUUUUCAGAGCGGU